rnacentral:rRNA from 1 species
AGAGUUUGAUCCUGGCUCAGGACGAACGCUGGCGGCGUGCCUAACACAUGCAAGUCGAGCGGAGACAGUGAGUAGCUUGCUAUGAGCUGUUUUAGCGGCGGACGGGUGAGUAACGCGUGAGCAACCUUUCCCAGACAGGGGAAUAACACACCGAAAGGUGUACUAAUACCGCAUAAGACCACGGGAUCACAUGGUUCUGGGGUAAAAGAUUUAUCGGUUUGGGGUGGGCUCGCGUCCGAUUAGGUAGUUGGUGAGGUAACGGCCCACCAAGCCGACGAUCGGUAGCCGACCUGAGAGGGUGAUCGGCCACAUUGGGACUGAGACACGGCCCAAACUCCUACGGGAGGCAGCAGUGGGGAAUAUUGGGCAAUGGAGGAAACUCUGACCCAGCAACGCCGCGUGGAGGAAGAAGGUUUUCGGAUCGUAAACUCCUGUCCUUGGAGACGAGUAGAAGACGGUAUCCAAGGAGGAAGCCCCGGCUAACUACGUGCCAGCAGCCGCGGUAAUACGUAGGGGGCAAGCGUUGUCCGGAAUAAUUGGGCGUAAAGGGCGCGUAGGCGGCUCGGUAAGUCUGGAGUGAAAGUCCUGCUUUUAAGGUGGGAAUUGCUUUGGAUACUGUCGGGCUUGAGUGCAGGAGAGGUUAGUGGAAUUCCCAGUGUAGCGGUGAAAUGCGUAGAGAUUGGGAGGAACACCAGUGGCGAAGGCGACUAACUGGACUGUAACUGACGCUGAGGCGCGAAAGUGUGGGGAGCAAACAGGAUUAGAUACCCUGGUAGUCCACACUGUAAACGAUGAAUGCUAGGUGUAGGGGGUAUCGACCCCUUCUGUGCCGCAGUCAACACAAUAAGCAUUCCGCCUGGGGAGUACGGCCGCAAGGUUGAAACUCAAAGGAAUUGACGGGGGCCCGCACAAGCAGCGGAGCAUGUGGUUUAAUUCGACGCAACGCGAAGAACCUUACCAAGACUUGACAUCCUCUGACGCAUAUAGAGAUAUAUGUUCCCUUCGGGGCAGAGAGACAGGUGGUGCAUGGUUGUCGUCAGCUCGUGUCGUGAGAUGUUGGGUUAAGUCCCGCAACGAGCGCAACCCUUGUGAACAGUUGCCAGUAUUAAGUUAGGAACUCUGUUCAGACUGCCGUGGACAACACGGAGGAAGGUGGGGACGACGUCAAAUCAUCAUGCCCCUUACGUCUUGGGCUACACACGUGCUACAAUGGCCGUAACAGAGGGCAGCGAAAGGGCAACCUGGAGCGAAUCUCAAAAAAACGGUCUCAGUUCAGAUUGUGGGCUGCAACCCGCCCACAUGAAGACGGAGUUGCUAGUAAUCGCGGAUCAGCAUGCCGCGGUGAAUGCGUUCCCGGGCCUUGUACACACCGCCCGUCACACCAUGGGAGUUGAGAGCACCCGAAGUCGGUGACCUAACCGCAAGGAAGGAGCCGCCGAAGGUGAGAUUGAUGACUGGGGUGAAGUCGUAACAAGGUA